AGCCAACCACUUGCUUCCAAAUGACCCUUAUCCAGAAGUAUCCGUGAGUGCCUCAUAAACAGAAACUAAAGUGGAGACCUACCUCUCAGAGAAAAACGCACACAUAAGAAAAGCCGACCCACUUCAGUACUGGGAAGAACAUCCUAAUCUGUUUCCCUCUAUGGCUGCUGUUGCGAUCCCAGUGUGCCCCCUGUAGCUCUGUGGACAGUUUUGGAUUUGUUUACAUCUCACCCAACCGCUCACGGCAGAUGGCUGCACCUCUCUAAGCCUGGUUCUGCCGGAGGUUUCUUCCUGUUAAAAGGGAGUUUUUCUGAACACACUCUACCACCAACAAGGACAGCUCACCAGUGGGAACUGAUAGAUAAGACUGCUGAUGUGCUGUCAUCCAUUGAAGAGCUGACCAGAAACGUGAACAGAGAGACUGCACGCGAUGGGAUCCCUGCCAUAACAGAUGUGUUCUGUCCAGUGAAGGCAGUGGAGAAGCCCUACACUGAUCUUGAAACUGUGCCACGCUAGUAGAGACCAGCUACAAGGAUGGGCAGCUGUUUUCGCAAAGUCAGCCAACCACUUGCUUCCAAAUGUCCCUUAUCCAGAAGUAUCCGUGAGUGCCUCAUCAACAGAAAAUAAAGUGGAGACCUACCUCUCAGAGAAAAACGCACACA